ACCUUAGCCGACGCCCCUUCCUCCUCCGAAUUUUUGCGGCGUGUCGGUGCCAUCAUGGCGCUCCGCUCUCUCUCCAGCACUCAACGGCAGGAUGUGGGCUCUCGUGCUUCGCCGCCGGCGGACACUCUGCCUGCCACCUUUCAGCCUUCCACCUCUCAGGGUGGAUCUGGCAAUGAAGCUAGAGCUAAUGUUGCUAGGAAGGCGAAGGAGGUUGAACAUAUGUUGGCAAAUUUAAAGAAGAGGGAGUGGAGAUAGAUGACGAGAUAGCUAGUAUUAUUGAUGAUGAUAUAACUAGAAUUAAAGCUGAAGCUGACAGGGAGAACAUCAUCAAUGGGCUGAAAAGGAAAGGGUUGUGGGUAAUGGUCAGUAUUACAUCUGCUACUAUUGGAUUCUUGCUCGGAGUGGAAGUUUGUGAACAGAUCGUCUAUGCACACGUGGGCAGGUCAAUCAUUCAUUUUGGUGAACAUUUUGGUGGAAAAUAGCCUAGGGCUUGUGGGUCGACUCUUCUGAUGGUAUGUAAAACCAAGCAGAUAGUUCUCCAGAUAGUAUUACUAAAACAUUGUUAGCUAACUAUGGUAUGCAAAAACUGUUUAUGUUGUCUGUUAAUUGUCAUGAUGUACUAUGGUUUCUGGCAUAUAAUAAUGUAACUCUUACUUAACACCAUGUGCUGUUCGAAGCCGCAUGGAGCAGGAGUGUUUGGUAAUUGAAUCUGGUGUGCGUGGUGCAGGAAUUAAUUCUA